ensembl:lncRNA
CAGAAGCUCCACGAGGCUUUAUUCAUCCCAUAAACACCCAACCCUUUCUGUCUUUGCCUCUUAGAGCUGACGAUUUCUUUGCCUGGAAUAGUCCUGCCCUAGCUCCUCACAAACCAAUCCUUUCUAUUCCCCUAUUUGUUAUCAUAAUCGUAGAUGCCUCUUCCUGAGAAAAUCUUCCCAGUUUUCUCUCUCUCUACUGUGGAUUCUUUGAAGAAAAGACUGUCCUGGAUCUCAGUCAUGCUUGUAUCCCCAGAGCCCAGUAUGUUCCCAUGGGAACCUAGAGAAGGAUGUUCCUUGUUUUCCACCACCCCUCUGGGCUUCAGUGAAGGAAAAUGGACCACAGGGGACUCUUCAAGAACUGCUUCAAGAUGUGCUAUCCAGCAGGGGAUUUGGCCCAACAAAUGCUUACUGGGGACCAGCUCUGCGUUACAGGCUGUGCUCAAGACUGUGGAG